rnacentral:lncRNA from 1 species
AGGAGUUGGGACUACAGCAGGAGCAAAGCAAACCUCAAACCUCAAAAUUGAAUACCACUUUGAGCCACAAGAAGCUGGACUUUUCUAACUCUGAUUCGAAAUUUAAUGUUCUGUUGAUGGCAGACAUCUAAAUUGUUGUCUGAUUCCUUUAACCAGCCACCUCACCUACCAACCAGAAAGCUUCAUUUUCUAAUGAAGCUUUUCUUAGGGAUCCAUCAACUAUGUUAAAUCAACAUUCAGUGAUUUAUAAAUGAAUGAAACACAUACAGAUUAGCUGUUCUUCUGAAAACACACUGGAGGUACAACACUGGCAAAAAUAUUCUUGAUUUAGUGUUGUUAAGGGCACUAGAAACACAGAUUGUCAUAUCUAAAGAUGGGACAUUUCUAGAUGCACUGCCAUAUAACUGGCACAAUUGUGUUAAAUGCCAUUAGUCCCCCUUGUUCUUUUGAUGGAAUGUGGAAAUGAUACUAGUUUCUGUGUAUUUUCAUCACAUUUCCAAAGACGAGCAUUUGACCAUCUUCUUUUGUAGUAACCAGAGAGAGGAAGAAGGAAAAAAAGUAAGAAUAUGAGUUUAGAAGUUAUGAAACUCAGCAUCCGUAUACUUUAGAAUUUUUUUAAAUUUUGUAUGAAAACAUACUAAUAUGGUUUGGCUGUGUCCCCAUCCAAAUCUCAUCCUGAAUUGUAGCUUCCAUAAUUACCAAGUGUCAUGGAAGGGACCUGGUGGGAGGUAACUGAAUCAUGGGGGUGGGUUUUUCCCAUGCUGUUCUCAUGAUAGUGAAUAAGUUUCCCACGAUCUGAUGGUUUUACAAAGGGGAGAGCCCCUGCACAUGCUCUCUUGCCAGCUGAAAUGUAAGAUGUGACUUUGCUUCUCCUUUACUUUCC